rnacentral:rRNA from 1 species
CAGCAGCCGCGGGAAUACGGAGGAUCCAAGCGUUACCCGGAAUCAUUGGGUUUAAAGGGUCCGUAGGCGGUCUUGUAAGUCAGUGGUGAAAGCCCAUCGCUCAACGGUGGAACGGCCAUUGAUACUGCAGGACUUGAAUUAUUGGGAAGUAACUAGAAUAUGUAGUGUAGCGGUGAAAUGCUUAGAGAUUACAUGGAAUACCAAUUGCGAAGGCAGGUUACUACCAAUUGAUUGACGCUGAUGGACGAAAGCGUGGGUAGCGAACAGGAUUAGAUACCCGUGUAGUCCCUGUCUCUUAUAC